rnacentral:rRNA from 1 species
UUAGAGAGAACUCUCGUUAAGGAACUAGGCAAGCUGACCCCGUAACUACGGGAGAAGGGGUGCCCUGCUCGGGAAGGACUGUAACGUCCGACUUUGGUGGGGUCGCAGUGACAGGGCUCGAGCGACUGUUUAACAAAAACACAGGUCUCUGCUAAGUCGAAAGACGCAGUAUAGGGGCUGACGCCUGCCCAACGCCAGAAGGUUAAAGGGAGAGGUCAGGGUGGGAAAACCCGCUUAAAGCUUUGAACUGAAGCCCUGGUGAGUGGCGGCCGUAACUAUAACGGUCCUAAGGUAGCGAAAUUCCUUGUCGGGUAAGUACCGACCUGCACGAAUGGCGUAACGACUUGAGCGCUGUCUCAACGAGAGACUCGGUGAAAUUGUAGCACCUGUGAAGAUGCAGGUUACCCACGAUAGGACGGAAAGACCCCGUGGAGCUUUACUACACCCUGCUAUUGUGUUCUCUGCUGGUCUGUAGAGCGUAGGUGGGAGAGGGAAACCUCGCCAAUGGAACACCACCCUGGCCAGUGGGGAGCACUAACCGGAACUAGACAUUCCGAGACCGUAGCAGGCGGGUAGUUUGACUGGGGCGGUCGCCUCCCAAACAGUAACGGAGGCGUCCAAAGGUUCCCUCAGCCUGGUUAGAAAUCAGGCAUGUGAGUAUAAGGGCAUAAGGGAGCUUGACGGUGAGACCAACAAGUCGAGCCGGGACGAAAGUCGGGCCUAGUGACCCUCUGGUGGUAUGUGGAAACGCCAGGGCUUAACGGAUAAAAGUUACCCCGGGGAUAACAGGCUUAUCUUGCCCAAGCGCUCACAGCGACGGCAAGGUUUGGCACCUCGAUGUCGGCUCGUCGCAUCCUGGGGCUGGAUUGGGUCCCAAGGGUUAGGCUGUUCGCCUGUUAAAGCGGUACGCGAGCUGGGUUCAGAACGUCGUGAGACAGUUCGGUCCCUAUCCAUCGUGGGCGGAAGAGUGUUGAGAGGAGCUGCUCCUAGUACGAGAGGACCGGAGUGGACUGACCGCUGGUGUACCAGUUGUCCCGCCAGGGGCAGAAGCUGGGUAGCUAUGUCGGGAAGGGAUAAGCGCUGAAAGCAUCUAAGCGCGAAGCUCGCCUCAAGAUGAGCACUCUCACUCGGUUAGCGAGGUAAGGCCCGUGGUAGAGAAUCACGUAGAUAGGCUGGACCUGUAAGCUCCGCAAGGGGUUAAGGGCACCAGUACUAAUCGGCCGAGGGCUUGAUC